rnacentral:rRNA from 1 species
UACGGAGGGUGCGAGCGUUGUCCGGAAUCACUGGGCGUAAAGGGUGUGUAGGUGGCGCCGUAAGUCGGGUGUGAAAUUCCGGAGCUUAACUCCGAAACUGCAUUCGAUACUGCGGUGCUUGAGGACUGGAGAGGAGACUGGAAUUUACGGUGUAGCAGUGAAAUGCGUAGAUAUCGUAAGGAAGACCAGUGGCGAAGGCGGGUCUCUGGACAGUUCCUGACACUGAGACACGAAGGCCAGGGGAGCAAACGGG